rnacentral:lncRNA from 1 species
CUAGGCCCUUGAGCACAUCAUUGGUGCUGUCUCUUUGACAAAAAGCAUUUUUAGUUGAUGGAAAAUCACCAACUUUCACCCCUAAAAACAUCUGUGAAGAGCAGAAAACAGCCUGACUCUUAUAGAUGUCCCUGACAGCAAGCCAACCCUGGGAGAAACAAUGGUUUGGAACAAUAGCACCUGAGGUGGAAGAAAACACAGUGGGCCUCUCACUUUCGCUCUCUAACCACAACAAUUGAAAGAGACUAUGGCCUGAAAAAUCUAUCUGCUCCUAAAUGGUACCCAGAUGGAAAUCACAGCUGCUGUCAUGUACCACCUGUACCUACGCCCAUCCAUCUUCAGAACACGCCUGGGGCAGAGGAGAGAAAUCGAGUUGACAGAGCAGUUAAAGAGCCUCUCUUUUCUCCUGCAUACUUUUCCUUUUAUCUUUUUCUCUUCAGUUUCAGAGCUUCUUGUUCUCACCUUCAUGCUGUGGCAAUGCUGACAAAAGAAAACUGCAGCCUCUGAGAACCAGUGGGAAACUGGGAAACUGACACUUCCUGCCUUAUAUUGUUGCAGUUGCAAAGAUCAAAUACCAAGGUUAUGGGAAGAUGUUUUGAAGCCCCAUAUAAAUAUGUAAUUUAAUUUAUUCCAAUAAAGACUCAUUGCACAGGCUGGGCACAA